GGGAAUCUAUACCUGAAGCACUACUGGAGUCAAGGUCAUCAAAAGCAAGGAAAGUCUGAGAAACUGUCACAGCCAAGAAGAACCUAAGGAGACCCAACAUCUAAAUAAAAUGUGGCAUCCUGGACGGGGUCCUGGGACAGAAAAAUACAUGAGGCACGACUAAAGGAACCUGAAUGAGGUAUGAACUUUAAUUAAUAAUAAUGUAGCAACUGGUUCAUUAAUUAUAACAAAUACACCGUAGUAAUGUAGGAUAGGAGAAACUGAGUACAAGACCCAUGGGAACUCUAUGUACAAACUCCAGAAUUUUUCUAUAAGUUUAACAUUGUUCAAAAAGUAAAGCUUGUUUAAGAAAAUAAAAGCAGGGGGAGGGCAGCUAGAUGCUAGACUACAGAGUAUCAGUGCAUAAGGUUUUAAUCCCUAAAUCAUUAGUACUCAACCUUUUAGUCCCUGCAUCGUUAGAACUUAACCUGCAUCAGUUUCCAGGACCAAGGAAACUCUAUGAAAGGAAACUUCUUACAUUCAUAUGCCUUGUCACACUGUGAGUCACAGUCACCAAAUGGUCUCUCCAAUUUACUGAUUGUAUUAAUACUCCUAAAUUACUCAUCUGUACCUUCACCCGUUUAAAAUAAUUGGAUUUUUUAUUAAAUACAAUAUGUAUGUUGUUUUCUUGGGCUGAAACAACUCAAUUAAAUUACCACUAACUCAAAAGGAAAUCAGAAAUAUAAAAAGUUUCAUUCUCAGAAUACUGUCUCUGGGAGAAAAAGGUGGAUUUUUGGAUUUUGCUUUAUUUUAGUUUGUUUUUGGUAUUCUUCAAUAUAACUAUAAGAAUGGAAGUCAUGGGAGAAUAAAGGGAAAACAAGAAAGCCUGGUUAAUGUUGUGGAAGAAAGAUUUUCUUAGGAGAAAGAUUGAGGAAUUUACUAGAGAGCAAUGUCAGGAAAAAUGAGAAUCUGGAGGCCGUGCUAGGCACACAUGAAAGGAAAAAGGAAAUGAAUCUGCAUCUAAUUACUCAGAAA